GACGAACGCUGGCGGCGUGCCUAAUACAUGCAAGUCGAACGCAGUGGGGACGGGUGAGUAACACGUGGGUAACCUCCCAUCAGAGGGGAUAACACUUGGAAACAGGUCCUAAUCCCAUACUGGUGGAUGAACCCGCGGUGCAUUACCUAGUUGGUGAGGUAACGGCUCACCAAGGCCACGAUGCAUAGCCGACAUGAGAGGGUGAUCAGCAACACUGGGACGGAGACAAGGCCAAGAAUCCUACGGGAGGCAGCAGUAGGGAAUAUUCGGAAAUGGACGAAAGUCUGAGCGAGAAACGCGGCGUGAGUGAAGAAGGUUUUCGGAUCGUAAAGCUUUGUGGUUAGAGAAGCGGUAACUAACCAGAAAGCCACGGCUAACUACGUGCCAGCAGCCGCGGUAAUUC
rnacentral:rRNA from 1 species